GUCGAGCGCAGGAAAUCGACGGAACCCUUCGGGGGGAAGUCGAUGGAAUGAGCGGCGGACGGGUGAGUAACACGUAAAGAACCUGCCCUCAGGUCUGGGAUAACCACGAGAAAUCGGGGCUAAUACCGGAUGGGUCAUCGGACCGCAUGGUCCGAGGAUGAAAGGCGCUUCGGCGUCGCCUGGGGAUGGCUUUGCGGUGCAUUAGCUAGUUGGUGGGGUAAUGGCCCACCAAGGCGACGAUGCAUAGCCGACCUGAGAGGGUGAUCGGCCACACUGGGACUGAGACACGGCCCAGACUCCUACGGGAGGCAGCAGUAGGGAAUCUUCCACAAUGGACGAAAGUCUGAUGGAGCAACGCCGCGUGAACGAUGAAGGCCUUCGGGUCGUAAAGUUCUGUUGUAAGGGAAGAACAAGUGCCGCAGGCAAUGGCGGCACCUUGACGGUACCUUGCGAGAAAGCCACGGCUAACUACGUGCCAGCAGCCGCGGUAAUACGUAGGUGGCAAGCGUUGUCCGGAAUUAUUGGGCGUAAAGCGCGCGCAGGCGGCCUCUUAAGUCUGAUGUGAAAGCCCCCGGCUCAACCGGGGAGGGCCAUUGGAAACUGGGAGGCU
rnacentral:rRNA from 1 species